CCUACGGGGGGCAGCAGUAGGGAAUUUUCGGCAAUGGGGGGAACCCUGACCGAGCAACGCCGCGUGAAGGAAGAAGGAAUUCGUUCUUUAAACUUCUGUUAUAAAGGAAGAAAGACGGAUGGAGGAAAUGACAUCCGAGUGACGGUACUUUAUGAGAAAGCUACGGCUAACUACGGGCCAGCAGCCACGGUAAUACGUAGGUGGCAAGCGUUAUCCGGUAUUAUUGGGCGUAAAGAGGGAGCAGGCGUCCGUAAAGGUCUGUGGUGAAAGACUGAAGCUUAACUUCAGUAAGCCAUAGAAACCGGGCAGCUAGAGUGCGGGAGAGGAGCGUGGAAUGCGAUGUGUAGCGGUGAAAUGCGUAGAUAUAUGGAGGAACACCAGUGGCGAAGGCGACGAUCUGGCCUGAAACUGACGCUGAGUCACGAAAGCGUGGGGAGCAAAUAGGAUUAGAUACCCGGGUAGUC
rnacentral:rRNA from 1 species